UAACGCGUGGGUAACCUGCCUCAUACAGGGGGAUAACAGUUAGAAAUGACUGCUAAUACCGCAUAAGCGCACGAGGAUGCAUGUUCUUGUGUGAAAAACUCCGGUGGUAUGAGAUGGACCCGCGUCUGAUUAGCUAGUUGGAGGGGUAACGGCCCACCAAGGCGACGAUCAGUAGCCGACCUGAGAGGGUGACCGGCCACAUUGGGACUGAGACACGGCCCAAACUCCUACGGGAGGCAGCAGUGGGGAAUAUUGCACAAUGGGCGAAAGCCUGAUGCAGCAACGCCGCGUGAGCGAUGAAGGCCUUCGGGUCGUAAAGCUCUGUCCUCAAGGAAGAUAAUGACGGUACUUGAGGAGGAAGCCCCGGCUAACUACGUGCCAGCAGCCGCGGUAAUACGUAGGGGGCGAGCGUUAUCCGGAUUUACUGGGUGUAAAGGGAGCGUAGGCGGCAGCGCAAGUCAGAAGUGAAAGCCCAAGGCUCAACCAUGGGACUGCUUUUGAAACUGUACAGCUAGAUUGCAGGAGAGGUAAGUGGAAUUCCUAGUGUAGCGGUGAAAUGCGUAGAUAUUAGGAGGAACACCAGUGGCGAAGGCGGCUUACUGGACGAUAACUGACGCUGAGGCUCGAAAGCGUGGGGAGCAAACAGGAUUAGAUACCCUGGUAGU
rnacentral:rRNA from 1 species